AAAUUCAAACUCAAAGACCUUAC
rnacentral:snRNA from 1 species